rnacentral:lncRNA from 1 species
GUGAGCACAACUAGCUCAGUAAAGAAUAUCAUGACUAAAGAUAAAUAAAUUAUCAAUAGCCUUCAACAGUAAUAAAUCAGAGAUUUAGAACAUAUGGUAGAUGAUAAAACUUUUCAACCAUAGUUGCAGCGGAAUGAGCAAUCCAUUAGAAGAGUCAAAUAGACUAUAAAGUCUAUUAUCUUCUCCAUGUUAAAAGUCCACCAACAAUGUUUUAUCCCUGUGACAUCAAUCAA